rnacentral:Y_RNA from 1 species
GGCCAGUCCCACAGUAGGGGGUUAUCAGAACUUAUUAACAUUAGUGUCACUAAAGUUGUUAUACAACCCCCCACUGCUAAAUUAGACUGGCUUUAA